rnacentral:hammerhead_ribozyme from 1 species
AUCCAGCUGACGAGUCCCAAAUAGGACUAAAUGUGCAUCCUGGAU